GUAGUCCACGCCGUAAACGAUGGGCACUAGGUGCUUGGGGGAGCGACCCUCCGAGUGCCGGCGCUAACGCAUUAAGUGCCCCGCCUGGGGAGUACGACCGCAAGGUUGAAACUCAAAGGAAUUGACGGGGGCCCGCACAAGCGGUGGAGCAUGUGGUUUAAUUCGACGCAACGCGAAGAACCUUACCUAGGCUUGACAUGCUGGUGAAACCCCUUGGAAACAGGGGGCCUCCUUCGGGACACCAGCACAGGUGCUGCAUGGCUGUCGUCAGCUCGUGUCGUGAGAUGUUGGGUUAAGUCCCGCAACGAGCGCAACCCCCGUCUCCAGUUGCCAGCGCGUCAUGGCGGGGACUCUGGAGAGACUGCCGGUGCCAAACCGGA
rnacentral:rRNA from 1 species